AGCGGGUGAAGCUUGCUCCCCGCUGACGAGCGGCGGACGGGUGAGUAAUGCAUAGGAAACUGCCCAGUAGUGGGGGAUAGCCCGGGGAAACCCGGAUUAAUACCGCAUACGCCCUUUGGGGGAAAGCAGGGGAUCUUCGGACCUUGCGCUAUUGGAUGUGCCUAUGUCGGAUUAGCUAGUUGGUGGGGUAAGAGCCUACCAAGGCGACGAUCCGUAGCUGGUCUGAGAGGAUGAUCAGCCACAUCGGGACUGAGACACGGCCCGAACUCCUACGGGAGGCAGCAGUGGGGAAUAUUGGACAAUGGGGGCAACCCUGAUCCAGCCAUGCCGCGUGUGUGAAGAAGGCUUUCGGGUUGUAAAGCACUUUCAGUGAGGAGGAAAACCUUACGACUAAUACUCGUGAGGCUUGACGUUACUCACAGAAGAAGCACCGGCUAACUCCGUGCCAGCAGCCGCGGUAAUACGGAGGGUGCAAGCGUUAAUCGGAAUUACUGGGCGUAAAGCGCGCGUAGGUGGUUUGAUAACCGAGAUGUGAAAGCCCC
rnacentral:rRNA from 1 species